UUCUUGACCAAGUUGGAGAUGAUCCGUGCAGCCGCUUCUCUAAACUCCUUCUCUUCAGGUUCCCCCCAAUUCAGCAUAUUGAUCAGCAUCUCCACCACGUCUUGCA
rnacentral:pre_miRNA from 1 species